GUUCUUCUUCUUCAUUAAAAUCAAGAAUUUCAUUUGAUUUUGGAAAAGUAAAUGUUUAUUCUUCUUUGAAUCAAUUGUUUGGUGUUGGAGCUGUCGGAAAGAAGAAUUCAAAUAACAACAAUAAUUCUGAUUCCUCUUCUUCAGCGAAAGUUUUGGAGUUUGAUCUGGAAUCUGUUGGUCCAAGCUUGAUAGUGUUCAACUCCUUGUCAAGUGUGUUAAAUAUCCUUCUUCAAUGACAAACUAUGGAAUCUUGCGGAUACAAGUUUACAUCAUGAUUGUAAUGUAACGAAAUGAGGAACUUUAGCUUUAAAAGUUACCAAAAUUAGAAGUAUUGCAGUUUACAUGGGACAGCUGCAGAUUUGCAUUGGAGGCAUAGGGAUAAAGACUUUGCUGAUCUCACCUCCAUCUACAAUUGUGGCUUUUUGUUUUGAUGCUUCGUGAGAUCAGCCAGAAAGGGCCAGAUAUUGAGGC